GAUGAACGCUGGCGGCGUGCCUAAUACAUGCAAGUCGAGCGAACAGACGAGGAGCUUGCUCCCCUGACGUUAGCGGCGGACGGGUGAGUAACACGUGGAUAACCUACCUAUAAGACUGGGAUAACUUCGGGAAACCGGAGCUAAUACCGGAUAAUAUAUUGAACCGCAUGGUUCAAUAGUGAAAGACGGUUUUGCUGUCACUUAUAGAUGGAUCCGCGCCGCAUUAGCUAGUUGGUAAGGUAACGGCUUACCAAGGCAACGAUGCGUAGCCGACCUGAGAGCGUGAUCGGCCACACUGGAACUGAGACACGGUCCAGACUCCGACGGGAGGCAGCAGUAGAGAAUCUUCCGCAAUGGGCGAAAGCCUGACGGAGCAACGGCGCGUGAGUGAUGAAGGUCUUCGGAUCGUAAAACUCUGUUAUUAGGGAAGAACAAAUGUGUAAGUAACUAUGCACGUCAUGACGGUACCUACUCAGAAAGCCACGGCUAACUACGUG
rnacentral:rRNA from 1 species